GACUCUUUAGCUCAGUUGGUUAGAGCGCUGUACCGGAAUCGCAGGGCGGCAGGAUCGAUUUCUGCCAGAUCG